rnacentral:pre_miRNA from 1 species
CGCCUUCUGUAUCCGUGCUGAGAUUUCGUAGACCACAAGGGCUGAUGAGACUUCCAAGAUAAGUGAAGCG